AGGACGAACGCUGGCGGCGUGCCUAACACAUGCAAGUCGAGCGAGGAGAUUCCUUCGGGAUGAUCCUAGCGGCGGACGGGUGAGUAACACGUCGGGCAACCUGCCUCAUAGAGAGGAAUAGCCUUCCGAAAGGGACGAUUAAUACCUCAUAACAUUGCAGUUUCGCAUGGAACAGCAAUUAAAGGAGCAAUCCGCUAUGAGGAUGGGCCCGCGGCGCAUUAGCUAGUUGGUGAGGUAACGGCUCACCAAGGCGACGAUGCGUAGCCGACCUGAGAGGGUGAUCGGCCACAUUGGGACUGAGACACGGCCCAGACUCCUACGGGAGGCAGCAGUGGGGAAUAUUGCACAAUGGGGGAAACCCUGAUGCCAGCAACGCCGCGUGAGUGAUGACGGCCUUCGGGUUGUAAAGCUCUGUCUUCAGGGACGAUAAUGACGGUACCUGAGGAGGAAGCCACGGCUAACUACGUGCCAGCCGCGGC
rnacentral:rRNA from 1 species